AUAUGGGGGGCCCAUCCUCCAAGGCUAAAUACUCCUGACUGACCGAUAGUGAACCAGUACCGUGAGGGAAAGGCGAAAAGAACCCCGGCGAGGGGAGUGAAAAAGAACCUGAAACCGUGUACGUACAAGCAGUGGGAGCACGCUUAGGCGUGUGACUGCGUACCUUUUGUAUAAUGGGUCAGCGACUUAUAUUCUGUAGCAAGGUUAACCGAAUAGGGGAGCCGAAGGGAAACCGAGUCUUAACUGGGCGUUAAGUUGCAGGGUAUAGACCCGAAACCCGGUGAUCUAGCCAUGGGCAGGUUGAAGGUUGGGUAACACUAACUGGAGGACCGAACCGACUAAUGUUGAAAAAUUAGCGGAUGACUUGUGGCUGGGGGUGAAAGGCCAAUCAAACCGGGAGAUAGCUGGUUCUCCCCGAAAGCUAUUUAGGUAGCGCCUCGUGAAUUCAUCUCCGGGGGUAGAGCACUGUUUCGGCAAGGGGGUCAUCCCGACUUACCAACCCGAUGCAAACUGCGAAUACCGGAGAAUGUUAUCACGGGAGACACACGGCGGGUGCUAACGUCCGUCGUGAAGAGGGAAACAACCCAGACCGCCAGCUAAGGUCCCAAAGUCAUGGUUAAGUGGGAAACGAUGUGGGAAGGCCCAGACAGCCAGGAUGUUGGCUUAGAAGCAGCCAUCAUUUAAAGAAAGCGUAAUAGCUCACUGGUCGAGUCGGCCUGCGCGGAAGAUGUAACGGGGCUAAACCAUGCACCGAAGCUGCGGCAGCGACGCUUAUGCGUUGUUGGGUAGGGGAGCGUUCUGUAAGCCUGCGAAGGUGUGCUGUGAGGCAUGCUGGAGGUAUCAGAAGUGCGAAUGCUGACAUAAGUAACGAUAAAGCGGGUGAAAAGCCCGCUCGCCGGAAGACCAAGGGUUCCUGUCCAACGUUAAUCGGGGCAGGGUGAGUCGACCCCUAAGGCGAGGCCGAAAGGCGUAGUCGAUGGGAAACAGGUUAAUAUUCCUGUACUUGGUGUUACUGCGAAGGGGGGACGGAGAAGGCUAUGUUGGCCGGGCGACGGUUGUCCCGGUUUAAGCGUGUAGGCUGGUUUUCCAGGCAAAUCCGGAAAAUCAAGGCUGAGGCGUGAUGACGAGGCACUACGGUGCUGAAGCAACAAAUGCCCUGCUUCCAGGAAAAGCCUCUAAGCAUCAGGUAACAUCAAAUCGUACCCCAAACCGACACAGGUGGUCAGGUAGAGAAUACCAAGGCGCUUGAGAGAACUCGGGUGAAGGAACUAGGCAAAAUGGUGCCGUAACUUCGGGAGAAGGCACGCUGAUAUGUAGGUGAAGUCCCUUGCGGAUGGAGCUGAAAUCAGUCGAAGAUACCAGCUGGCUGCAACUGUUUAUUAAAAACACAGCACUGUGCAAACACGAAAGUGGACGUAUACGGUGUGACGCCUGCCCGGUGCCGGAAGGUUAAUUGAUGGGGUCAGCGCAAGCGAAGCUCUUGAUCGAAGCCCCGGUAAACGGCGGCCGUAACUAUAACGGUCCUAAGGUAGCGAAAUUCCUUGUCGGGUAAGUUCCGACCUGCACGAAUGGCGUAAUGAUGGCCAGGCUGUCUCCACCCGAGACUCAGUGAAAUUGAACUCGCUGUGAAGAUGCAGUGUACCCGCGGCAAGACGGAAAGACCCCGUGAACCUUUACUAUAGCUUGACACUGAACAUUGAGCCUUGAUGUGUAGGAUAGGUGGGAGGCUUUGAAGUG
rnacentral:rRNA from 1 species